GUAGGUGGCGAGCGUUGUCCAGAAUUAUUGGGCGUAAAGCGCGCGCAGGCGGUCCUUUAAGUCUGAUGUGAAAGCCCACGGCUCAACCGUGGAGGGUCAUUGGAAACUGGGGGGCUUGAGUACAGAAGAGGAAAGCGGAAUUCCAAGUGUAGCGGUGAAAUGCGUAGAGAUUUGGAGGAACACCAGUGGCGAAGGCGGCUUUCUGGUCUGUAACUGACGCUGAGGCGCGAAAGCGUGGGGAGCAAACAGGGAUUAGAUACCCUGGUAGUCCACGCCGUAAACGAUGAGUGCUAAGUGUUAGGGGGUUUCCCGCCCCUUAGUGCUGCAGCUAACGCAUUAAGCACUCCGCCUGGGGAUACGGCCGCAAGGCUG
rnacentral:rRNA from 1 species